rnacentral:lncRNA from 1 species
UCCCUGAACUGACUAAAUGCUGUAUAAGUGAUCAUGUCGGCUCCUGAGUCUUAUUUCUUACUUAUCUCUAGACACUGCCUCAUGCAAGAGUCUUCUCACCACGGACCUUCUGACAGAAAUGUGGAAGCCCCUGGAGCCAAAGCGUAUGAGGUAGACCCAGAGAGGAGCCUUCACCCAAGCUCACUGUAGGCUCUACACCCAGUGUGGAGUCCAAUGUGAAGCUUGAACUCAUAAUCCUGAAAUCAAGACCUGAGCUGAGAUCAGAAGUCAGCCGCUUAACUGACUGAGCCACCCAGGUGCCCUCUGUUCUCCUGUUAGUAUGUUUCUUCAGCAUCUUUUAAUCUAUAACAAUUCACCCAAUCCCCUUUUUGUUUAUAUCACCAUUUCUUGAAGUGAUAGGCCAUUUAGCCCAUAAAAUUUGUCAUAUUCUGAAAACUCUUUACUUAUUCUUUAAAACUGAACUCAUAUGUUUGCUCUGGGAUGCUGUCACUGACUCUGAAAGACAGAUUUUUCAACCUCUGAGCUCCUGUAGUACUAAGUGCAUGGAAUCAUCAGGUGGUUGUACUGGUGUUUACAUAUCUUUUUUUCCCAAUAGACUAUAAAGCCCUAGCACAGAAGCAUUAUUUUAUUCAUCUUUGUAUUUCCACAGCUUAAAAUCAAACAUGACACACAAAUGGUGCUUCAUAACUUUUUUCUAAGUGAAUGAGGAAAUGAAUAAAGAAGAAAGAAGACAGGUCAUACUUGGAGAAAGAAGUUGGCAUGGAAAUAUGAACAGAAGAAAAGGAGAUAAAGGUAAAAUUCAGUUAAUCCUGUCCAUUCCUUGUUAGGACGUAUCAUUUGUUUUUACACCAGACUGCCUAAUUCUUACAUAAAAAUGAUUUAAAAAAUCUACCAUUUGUAUGACUUUAUAAUCCUGGGAGGUUUUUUUUUUUUUUUUUUUACUUUUUAUUUUGAAAUAAUCAUAUUCAUACAGGAAAUGCAAAAAUAGCACACUGAGUCCAGCGAGCUCUAAUCCAGUUCCUUCCCUGUGACAUCAUAUGGAACUGCUGUAAAUAUCAAAAUAAGAAACACUGUUAAUUAUUAUAGACCAUAUUCAGUUUUCUCCAAUUUUUAAUGAACUUAUCAUAUUGGUGUAUGUGUGUGUGUAUAAAUCUAUAUAAUUUGGUAGAACCCUAGUUUUGAUGAAAGAUUCACCUCCAAGUUUAAAAUUAUUUGAGUCAUAAAGUCACACAGAAAAAAUAGUAUUAGUUCUAGUUCAGAUUUUGCUGCAAUUGGUGCAGUUCAACUUCUGGUAUAUCUCCUCUGUUUCAAAUAUUUAACAAUAAAAU